UUGCCUGGAAAAUGAGAAGAAAAACACCUCUUUAAAUAUACUAAAAUAAUAAAUAAUCUUUUUUAGAAGAUGAAGGGGGCCAGCUACAUGGCAGGGCUCAGUUGGGAACAAAUGGGACCUAAUUUUUGAAAAUUGCAAGUGGUUCAAACAUUGCAAAAUGUACACAGUUCAUGAGGCCUAGAAAUAAACAUUGGUGGAUUAGAGAAAGAUUGUUUCAAAACAUAACAAAUAAUUGUUAAUCUAAAGAAAGCAUUGGCGCUAUAUCAAUAAAGCUAAAAUCAAAUGAACAGGAUAUAAUGCAUGUCAACAAGUGGAGAAACAGUGGGUGCUGUUUGGCUUCUGAUUAGAACCCCUUGUUAUAACAUAAAUCAGGUGAUGAGCCACAGGUAAAGGAAAGUCUUUAGUACUCCGAAUCCUCUAAUGUCAUAUGGUAUGCAGGGCGAAAUUAUAUUUAAAUUUUAUAAAACAUGAAAAACAUAAAUAACAUGUCACUAUAUUGUAAAAAAAGAAUGUAUGCCUUGGUGUUCUGCAAAAGCCUCUGUGAGAUACUGGCACUCCUGCUGGAUGGAUGACUCCAGGGUCUUCUUCCCCAGACCAAAGUUUCUGAAUGUGUGAAGAGCAAAUCUCCUCUGUUGCAUCCAGGGAUAACCAUUUCACAUCACAAGACCUUUGGGAAAUAAAAAAAUAAUGUAGACCUGAUCUUUAGAUCUUUAGAGGGAAAAAUGCAACUAUUUUUAUCAAACACUACCUUUAUUCCCUGAAAUUGAUUCAAAUAAGGGCAUAGUUGGGCGAUCCAUGAAGUCUUCUCCUUGGUGAACCAGGGCUUCUUUCACAAGUUUGUAGCCAUGAACGACCACAAUCCUACCACCAAAGAGUCGAAGGCUGAAAAUGUUUCCAUAUUUCUCUGCAAACUGAACACAGACGGCAUAUUGUUGUUUUGGGGGUAAGUCAUAUUGUGGAACCAUUAAAUAAAUCCUCCAAAUGCCUUAGCUUUAACUUGACAUAAAUCUUAAAUCCACUUAAUAGGAACAUAUACACAGAACAACUAAUGACUAAUGAUCUAUCUCUGACUAGAUACAUCCUGAGAACAGGUCACAGGUUAACUUGUAACCUGAAUCACUGAUAGCGCUGCAGUCCCACCUCAUGCUGAACAUUCCAGCUGUCUUGCCACCUGUUCCUCUUUCCCUCAUGUUCCUGCCAUUGAGGAUGUCCACAAGAAGAGAUGUCUACGCCGAGCAUACUUCAUUCUCAGGGACUCCUCUCAUCCUGCCAAUAAACUCUUCCAGCUCCUCCCCUCUGGAAGACUCUACAGGACCCUACAGACUAAAACCAGCAGGUUUAGGAACAGCUUCUUCCCCACAGCUGUCACCCUACUGAACUCAGUCCCCUGCUGCUUCCAUCCACACUAAUUCUCCAUCCAUAACCCCUUAUCCCUCUCAGGGACCAUGAUCAUGAUUCACAUUCAUUUGUAACAUUCACCAUAUGCUCAUAUUGGUUAAUACUGUAGUUUAGGACACUGACAUAGUAUGCUCUCUGGUACAGUGCAUACACUGUUAGCUAUUAUAGUCUACUCAGAGCGCUACACUCCUACUGCUGUAGAUAUACUCAUAGGACUCUGUAAAUCUGUUUACCUUACAGCAGCACAUUGGUACAUAUGUAGCACAUCUGUAUAUAUUUAGAUAAUCUGUAUAUUUGUUCAUAGUACAUCUGUAUAUCUGCCCAUCUGUAUAGGAAUGUAGAACAUCUGUAUGCUACACAGAUCAUCUGUAUAUCUGUACAUAUGUCUGUAGUUCAUCUGUAUACUUCGUCUCUCCGUACAUAAUCUGUUCAUAACCAUUCCACCCUUUAUACAGUGGCUUGCAAAAGUAUCGGUCUUUCAUGUGGAAUUCCAAUAAAAUUGAUUCAUGUUUGUGGCUGUAAUGUGACAAAAUGUGGAAAAGUUCAAGGGGGGUGAAUACUUUUGCAAGCCACUGUAGUACCCUUAUCUGUAUAUAUUAGUAUAUCCGUACAUCUGCCUGUAGUACAUCUGUAUAUUUGCUUAACUUAUCUGUAUGUAAUCUGCUCUUAUUGCACUUACUACUCUUGCACUUGUUAUUAGAUGCAAACUGUAUUUCGUUACCCUGUAUUCAUAGCUGUGUAAUGACGAUAAAGUUGAAUCCAGUCAUAAUCCUAAUCACUUUGCAAUAUGUAACAUGUGCAAUGUUAUAUAUUACUGUAUAUAUAAAAUCCAUAUUUAUUCUUGAGUAUGUACUUAGCACCGGAGAACUGUGCACUUUUACCUUUUCUUUUUUCUUUUUUUUUGUUUGCAUGUUUCCACUGGGCAGAAGUUUCUUUCAAUCUCAUUGUACAUAGAUCUAUUCUAUUCUAUUCUAUUAUCAACAUAGCACUUGUAGCUAGUGGGACAUGAUGAUUUGCUUCUGUCUGCUUACUGUCUGGGAUGGAAGAUGACAAAGAGUUAUUAAAAGUGGGCCAACAUUUCUCUACAA